rnacentral:tRNA from 1 species
GCCACGGUCGCAUAGUCUGGUAUUGCGCUAGAUUGCUAAUCUAGUCCCUUUGGGAUCGCCGGUUCAAAUUGCAUUAAGAUUAUCUUUUUGCUUGGAUGUCCGGCCCGUGGCG